rnacentral:rRNA from 1 species
CCUACGGGUGGCUGCAGUGGGGAAUAUUGCGCAAUGGGCGAAAGCCUGACGCAGCGACGCCGCGUGAGGGAUGAAGGUCUUCGGAUCGUGAACCUCUGUCAGCAGGGAAGAACGGUCACUGUGCUAAUCAGCAGUGAAUUGACGGUACCUGCAAAGGAAGCACCGGCUAACUCCGUGCCAGCAGCCGGGGUAAUACGGAGGGUGCGAGCGUUAAUCGGAAUUACUGGGGGGAUAGCGGUCGUUGGCGGGAUGUCAAGUCAAGGGUGAAAUCCCCGCGCUCAACGUGGGAACUGCCUGUGAAACUGGCAAACUGGAGUGUGUGAGAGGAUAGUGGAAUUCCAGGUGUAGGAGUGAAAUCCGUAGAUAUCUGGCGGAACAUCAGUGGCGAAGGCGACUAUCUGGCACAUAACUGACGCUGAGGAGCGAAAGCGUGGGUAGCAAACAGGAUUAGAUACCCGUGUAGUC